UACUCGAGUGGCGAACGGGUGAGUAACACGUGGGUGAUCUGCCCUGCACUUCGGGAUAAGCUUGGGAAACUGGGUCUAAUACCGGAUAGGAGCCAUCUUUAGUGUGGUGGUUGGAAAGUUUUUUCGGUGUAGGAUGAGCUCGCGGCCUAUCAGCUUGUUGGUGGGGUAAUGGCCUACCAAGGCGGCGACGGGUAGCCGGACUGAGAGGUUGGUCGGCCACAUUGGGACUGAGAUACGGCCCAG
rnacentral:rRNA from 1 species